CCUACGGGAGACAGCAGUGAGGAAUAUUGGUCAAUGGGCUUACGCCUGAACCAGCCAAGUCGCGUGAGGGAAGACUGCCCUAUGGGUUGUAAACCUCUUUUGUCAGGGAGCAACGCCGGCUACGUGUAGCCGGACUGAGAGUACCUGAAGAAAAAGCAUCGGCUAACUCCGUGCCAGCAGCCGCGGUAAUACGGAGGAUGCGAGCGUUAUCCGGAUUGAUUGGGUUUAAAGGGUGCGUAGGCGGAAUGCCAAGUCAGCGGUAAAAUCGCGGGGCUCAACCUCGCUCCGCCGUUGAAACUGGCGUUCUUGAGUGGGCGAGAAGUAUGCGGAAUGCGUGGUGUAGCGGUGAAAUGCAUAGAUAUCACGCAGAACUCCGAUUGCGAAGGCAGCAUACCGGCGCCCAACUGACGCUGAAGCACGAAAGCGUGGGUAUCGAACAGGAUUAGAUACCCGGGUAGUC
rnacentral:rRNA from 1 species